UCUGCAGAUCCAGAAUGAGGUAAUUGAAGUAACCCAAAAUAAUCAGUAUCAUCAUGCUCUGACCCAAGCAUGAAAUAGUAAAUGAGAGGCAAAUUUUGAGCAGUGACAAACAUUUUGUGAGAACAUAUCACAAAUGACCAGUUAAUUUUAACAAUCAUAUUUAAUACAAAUUAGCAUUGUUAAUAGAUGUCUUUAUGUAUAUUUUGCAUCCUCAGUGCUGUGACUUCCAUGAAGAGUUAACAAUUAAAUGUGGAGUACAGGUAAUAAAGGAGACCCUCUCAUCUCUCACAGACAGACAGGAAUGUAUUUGCAGCUUUAUUUCAAGAAGGACCUAGGCUCCAUUCUUUAGGGAACACAAUUAUAUUACAUGCUUGCAAAACCUAAUUAUGAUGUAUGUGUUACACUGGGCUGUGUUUCUACUGUUCCACAACAGCAGUGUCCAAAGUAACGGUAAGUAUGACUUGCUCUUAUUUUUUUAUGAUCCAGUGUAUGAGAAGCCAAACUUUGGGAACUGUGACAGAAAGAGUGACCAAUGAUGCCCAUCAGCUGGGAUGUGAGAGAGGACAGACCAUGGCUGGCUCUCCUACCAGUGUGAUUUGGCACUACUGCUGCUGAAGUUUUAGCAGCCUAUCCCUGUGCAAUUUGCCUCUUGGGAAUUGCAAACAAAAUACUGUGACUGUAUCAUAAUAAUGUGCUUAUGCAAUGGCAUAUUUAUAGCCAGACAGCCCUUGUGAUAUUUUCUUUUCAGUAUCUGGAAAGGGGAAAAAAAUAAAACACCCUUACUUUAUGCAUGUUCUUUUAAAAUUCUAGCAAAAUAAUUUUAUUAUUCUUUCUAGCAAGUCUGAAAAAUUAAUUUGUGAAAAUUUGAUUAUUUUAAUGACAUUUUUCAUGGAACACAAAUAAUUAUCAGUAUACAGAGCCUGGAAUGUAACUGGCAAACGUCUCAAGUACUUUCAGGCCUGUUUUUAUCAUUGUGGAUAUUUAUCCAGCAGAAAAUAUACCACUGUGGUUUUGGUCAAUGGCUUUCAACAACCUAAUUCAACAGAUAGGUGAAUUACUGGAGUGAGUCCUCCAACAAGCUCUCAGAAGGAUUUAAGACUGAGUUUAACUGGGUGUCUCAGCACGGGACCCCCACUUCAUUGCAAGCCCCAUAAGCACCCGGCUCUUCUGCUGUACCAGUCAUAGUAAAGAUCAGACUUCUACAGAAAUCAAUGCCAGCUAGUCCCAGUUAUGAACCACGGAUUUUUCACUCUCAUAUUCAGAUCAUGUUAGCAGCAAGACAUUUCCAAUAUUUAUCUGGGAAGCUUUACUGAGAAUGAAGUUUGACAUUCAGGAGCCAUUUCAUUUUAUACUGUUAGAUCAUUUCUGCUCAACUGAAAUAAAGGCAUUGUCUUUGGCUCACAGUUUUGGGAUGAUAAGGCCUGCCCAGUUCACUUACAUGGGGAAAAGUGAGGAAAUCAAGUGUCUUAAAUGUUUUUUUACUUUUCUUUGCACUAAAGUAUUCUAAUCACUAUAAAAUAUGUUCAGCAUGAGAAACUUAAUAUCAAAGCUUCUGCAAAUGAUAGGUUAAUGAUGAAAGAUAGCUGUCAGUGGUUUUUUUCUUAAAAACUAGAAAAAAAUCAAAGAACUUGCUGAAUAGAUUUCCAAGUAAAUUAUUGUUGGUUUUAAAAAAUAACCCAGGAAAUAGAGACAAUUUAGCUACUCAAAAUGAAAAUUAUCUUUGAAUCCACAGAAGUCUUUGAAUGCACCUGAAGAGAGGUGUUUAAAGGUCUGCUGCAGAUAAAGACACAAAUGCAGCCAUAAAGUAAGAGGGGAGCUGGGUGGCCACGUCACUGUGACAACAAUUACAUUGGAAUCUGUCACACUGAGUUACCUAACAGAGGGCAGAGGGCAGUUUUGGUAGACAUUAUAAGUCUUCAACCAAAAAUGUACCCAUUAAGAGCCCAAGUCUUCAGUGUCAUAGAGAUUACUUUAACACAUCAUGAAAUCAAAUAUUAAUACUACAUUUUGCCAUGCAAAAGAAACAGAACAGUAAAAUAUGCCCUGCAUAAUAUUAAAAUGCCAUGCAAAAUAUUAAAAAUA